CCUACGGUGAGCAGCAGUGAGGAAUAUUGGUCAAUGGGCGCGAGCCUGAACCAGCCAAGUCGCGUGAGGGAAGACGGUCCUAUGGAUUGUAAACCUCUUUUGUCGGGGAGCAAAAGACGCCACGCGUGGCGUUCCGAGCGUACCCGAAGAAAAAGCAUCGGCUAACUCCGUGCAAGCAGCCGCGGUAAUACGGAGGAUGCGAACGAUAUCCGGAUUUAUUGGGUUUAAAGGGUGCGCAGGCGGAAGAGCAAGUCAGCGGUAAAAUUGAGAGGCUCAACCUCUUCGAGCCGUUGAAACUGGUGUUCUUGAGUGAGCGAGAAGUAUGCGGAAUGCGUGGUGUAGCGGUGAAAUGCAUAGAUAUCACGCAGAACUCCGAUUGCGAAGGCAGCAUACCGGCGCGCAACUGACGCUCAUGCACGAAAGUGUGGGUAUCGAACAGGAGUAGAUACCCCUGUAGUC
rnacentral:rRNA from 1 species